rnacentral:tRNA from 1 species
GGCAGUGUGGCUUGGUGACCAGGUACUGGACUGGGACUCAGGAGACCUAGGUUCAAUUCCCAGCUUUGCCA